AUGUUUUAAAUAAGCAGUCACCAGUCAAAAAUAAUUAAAAACAAAAAAAAAUAAAAACUAAAUAAAAUAUAUUGUGUAAAAGGAGGCCUUAAAAACUGACACAUGCAUAAAAUGAAAGCUAAAAAUUGCACACGAAGUAAAAACCUCACAAUCUUAUCAAACUUCUAUAGUAAAUAGUCCUUGAUACAAUUCAUUAAAUACUGAACGGUUUUGCCCAACUGCGGUCGCGUGUCACGGUGUUGUCCUCUUCGGCGAGAGGCCUGCAAAAUAUUGCACAGCAAGAAUGGUGCAGCGUCUGCCGAAAACCGGAAGGAGUAUAGAACACCGGCUAUCGAAAACCGAAACCACGCCGCGCAGGAUACUAUUA